rnacentral:rRNA from 1 species
UGGGGAAUAUUGCACAAUGGGCGGAAGCCUGAUGCAGCAACGCCGCGUGCGGGAUGACGGCCUUCGGGUUGUAAACCGCUUUCACCCAUGACGAAGCGCGAGUGACGGUAGUGGGGGAAGAAGCACCGGCCAACUACGUGCCAGCAGCCGCGGUGAUACGUAGGGUGCGAGCGUUGUCCGGAAUUAUUGGGCGUAAAGAGCUUGUAGGCGGUUGAUCGCGUCGAUAGUGAAAUCCCGGGGCUCAACCUCGGGCUUGCUGUCGAUACGGGUUGACUUGAGGAAGGUAGGGGAGAAUGGAACUCCCGGUGGAGCGGUGGAAUGCGCAGAUAUCGGGAAGAACACCGGUGGCGAAGGCGGUUCUCUGGACCUUUCCUGACGCUGAGAAGCGAAAGCGUGGGGAGCAAACAGGCUUAGAUACCCUGGUAGUCCACGCUGUAAACGGUGGGUACUAGGUGUGGGUCGCAUUCCACGUGAUCCGUGCCGUAGCCAACGCAUUAAGUACCCCGCCUGGGGAGUACGGCCGCAAGGCUA